UGGGGAAUAUUGGACAAUGGGCGAAAGCCUGAUCCAGCAAUGCCGCGUGAGUGAUGAAGGCCUUAGGGUUGUAAAGCUCUUUUACCAGGGACGAUAAUGACGGUACCUGGAGAAUAAGCCCCGGCAAACUUCGUGCCAGCAGCCGCGGUAAUACGAAGGGGGCUAGCGUUGUUCGGAAUUACUGGGCGUAAAGCGCACGUAGGCGGAUUGUUAAGUCAGAGGUGAAAUCCCGGAGCUCAACUUCGGAACUGCCUUUGAUACUGGCAAUCUCGAGUCCGGAAGAGGUUAGUGGAAUUCCCAGUGUAGAGGUGAAAUUCGUAGAUAUUGGGAAGAACACCAGUGGCGAAGGCGGCUAACUGGUCCGGUACUGACGCUGAGGUGCGAAAGCGUGGGGAGCAAACAGGAUUAGAUACCCAGGUAGUCCCUGAGCGGGCUGGCAAGGCGCAU
rnacentral:rRNA from 1 species